rnacentral:rRNA from 1 species
GCAUAUCAAUAAGCGGAGGAAAAGAAACCAACAGGGAUUGCCUCAGUAACGGCGAGUGAAGCGGCAACAGCUCAAAUUUGAAAUCUGGCCCCAGGCCCGAGUUGUAAUUUGCAGAGGAUGCUUUUGGYGCGGUGCCUUCCRAGUUCCCURGAACGGGACGCCAKAGAGGGUGAGAGCCCCGUACRGUUGGACACCAAGCCUUUGUAAAGCUCCUUCGACGAGUCGAGUAGUUUGGGAAUGCUGCUCWAAAUGGGAGGUAUAUUUCUUCUAAAGCUAAAUAMMGGCCAGAGACCGAUAGCGCACAAGUAGAGUGAUCGAAAGAUGAAAAGCACUUUGAAAAGAGGGUUAAACAGCACGUGAAAUUGUUAAAAGGGAAGCGCUUGUGACCAGACUUGCGUCCGGUGAAUCACCCAGCUCUCGCGGCUGGGGCACUUYGCCGGCWCAGGCCAGCAUCAGCUCGCUGUCGGGGACAAAAGCUUCRGGAACGUAGCUCUCUUCGGGGAGUGUUAUAGCCYGUUGCAYAAUACCCUUCGGYGGGCUGAGGUACGCGCUCCGCAAGGAUGCUGGCRUAAUGGUCAUCAGCGACCCGUCUUGAAACACGGACCAAGGAGUCAACCUUAUGUGCGAGUGUUYGGGUGUYAAACCCCUACGCGUAAUGAAAGUGAACGCAGGUGAGAGCUUCGGCGCAUCAUCGACCGAUCCUGAUGUUCUCGGAUGGAUUUGAGUAAGAGCAUAUAGGGUUGGACCCGAAAGAAGGUGAACUAUGCGUGUAUAGGGUGAAGCCAGAGGAAACUCUGGUGGAGGCUCGCAGCGGUUCUGACGUGCAAAUCGAUCGUCAAAUAUGCGCAUGGGGGCGAAAGACUAAUCGAMCCUUCUAGUAGCUGGUUUCCGCCGAAGU